ACUUGCUCACCGGAAUGUAAAGUGCUACAACAACACCAACAACGAUCGAGGAAUAGUAUAUACGUAGACUUUACUGAUGUUAUUUUUAAAAAACUCACAUCUCAACAAACCACCAGAAUAAAAUCUACUUCACAUUAGUUAAACCUAGAAACUACCUAUCCACUUUCUCAUUUCCCCUGCAUCUGAAUUCCUAGUAGAAUCCAGAAAAAAUCGCAAGUUUGGCCAUACAGUUAACAAAAGUAUGAUAAAUUACGUACAAUCAUAUUUUUACAAGAAUUGAUGAGACAAUAUAGUGUAUAGUUACAUAACAAGAAGCUGAAGAAAACAGAGAAGUCUCUGGUAGCACAACCCAUUCUCUUUCUUACUAGUUACUACUACUACAAUAUUCCAAAUAAACCAAAAGAAUAUUCUAAAAUAAUGAAAAGUUUUACGUCCUACCAUAAACAAGAAGAUGGACAAGAAAGGUCACUACUAUGAUUGCUUGUGUUGUGAAGGUGAAAAAAAAACCUUCUUCUUCUUCUACUACUGCUAAAGAUGCCAUAUUUUAGCUUCAGCCAAACGAGUUUUCUGAACUUUCUGGCUGAUCUGAGCCUUACACAUAUGACCCUUUUGACCCUAGUAAAAGACCUUCUAAUCCUCUCACUCAGACUUUUCUUCCUGCUGAAUUGGUAGCUUCUCAAGAACAAUUGCCUUUUCUCAAUAUCUGUGUAGCCUGACGUCUCUGUUCUGAACAUGUAUAUUGGCCCAUAAGAAUUCACAGCCAUAGCUGAUAUCCACAAACACACACACACAGUAAUAUGUGUGUAUAUGUAGAGAGAGAAAGCAAGCUUAGGCUUGUUUGGAGACAGAAGAAAGAAUUGUAGUGGAAGGAGAAGAGAGAAGGGAUAUAUAGGCAGGGGGGGUUUUGAAUGCUAUGUAUCCUUAGGUCACGCUUUGUGUUAAUUAAUUGUUGGUUCAGCGUCCACAACGCCGUCGUAAUGGUGGCCUAUGCUUUUUUGCCUUUGUAGUAAAGCCAAACUUUUCUCUUUUUCUUUUAU
rnacentral:lncRNA from 1 species